GCCACAUCCCUGCCCAGACAGGCCGAGCCUGGCGAGCAAAGCUGUGUCUAAACUUAACGUUUUGUUCGUUCGGCUCGCGUUAUCUUGGCAUGGGCUAUCGU
rnacentral:pre_miRNA from 1 species